rnacentral:rRNA from 1 species
CAGUCGGUGACGAGGUGGUGCAUGGUUGUCGUCAGCUCGUGUCGUGAGAUGUUGGGUUAAGUCCCGCAACGAGCGCAACCCCUAUUGUUAGUUGCCAUCAUUCAGUUGGGCACUCUAGCGAGACUGCCGGUAAUAAACCGGAGGAAGGUGGGGAUGACGUCAAAUCAUCAUGCCCCUUAUGACCUGGGCUACACACGUGCUACAAUGGUUGGUACAACGAGUUGCGAGUCGGUGACGGCGAGCUAAUCUCUUAAAGCCAAUCUCAGUUCGGAUUGUAGGCUGCAACUCGCCUACAUGAAGUCGGAAUCGCUAGUAAUCGCGGAUCAGCACGCCGCGGUGAAUACGUUCCCGGGCCUU